GAGUUUGAUCCUGGCUCAGAUUGAACGCUGGCGGCAUGCCUUACACAUGCAAGUCGAGCGGCAGCACGGGUGCUUGCACCUGGCGGCGAGUGGCGAACGGGUGAGUAAUACAUCGGAACAUGUCCAGUAGUGGGGGAUAGCCCGGCGAAAGCCGGAUUAAUACCGCAUACGCUCUACGGAGGAAAGCGGGGGAUCUUCGGACCUCGCGCUAUUGGGGUGGCCGAUGGCGGAUUAGCUAGUUGGUGGGGUAAAGGCCUACCAAGGCGACGAUCCGUAGCUGGUCUGAGAGGACGACCAGCCACACUGGGACUGAGACACGGCCCAGACUCCUACGGGAGGCAGCAGUGGGGAAUUUUGGACAAUGGGGGCAACCCUGAUCCAGCAAUGCCGCGUGUGUGAAGAAGGCCUUCGGGUUGUAAAGCACUUUUGUCCGGAAAGAAAUCCUUUGGGCUAAUACCCCGGGGGGAUGACGGUACCGGAAGAAUAAGCACCGGCUAAAUACGUGCCAGCAGCCGCGGUAAUACG
rnacentral:rRNA from 1 species